rnacentral:lncRNA from 1 species
GGGCCGGGCGCGCGCCGGGGCGCCCCACCCCGCCUCCGCCCCCGCCCCACGCGCCGGCGGCGCGGACCUCCUUGUCAAUGGGAGCGCGGGGCCGGGCUGCCCGCAGGACGGUCAGGUGGGCCCCCCAGCUCGCUGCCAGCGCGGCCUCUGUCCCUCUCGGGCCGGCUCUCCAUCUUGUCGCCCGUAGCCCGCCUUCUCCGUGGCUCUCCAGCCGCUGGGGCCGCAGAGCCGAGGCCGGGUUACCUCAGGAAACGCGAUGUGGUAGUGGGUCGGAAUAAACCCGCGCGCCCCAGAAUUCGCCUUGGGGGCGUAAGGACAGAUUCGGACUUUUCGUUUCCUAUGUCCACAUUUAUUGAGCACCUAAUAUGUGACACCCGAGGCUGUAAGAAGAGGAACGCAGCGGGCGGAGAAAAGCCAGAGCUUUUUCUCUGUGAGCCGCUGCCUCCAGGGCCAUAGCCGACCCUGCUCCGAGAUCCCAGCCGCCGCUCUCCGUGCAGGAGGGGUGCCCACCCUGGGGAGGCCAGGGUGCCCGGAGUGGAGGGACAGGGCUUCAAGCGACCGGGAGUUUCCAGCAAACCCCUGAUCCCUGAGCAGUUUAUUUUAAAAGCUUUUGCAAAUGUUGGACGGUUUCGUUUGGUGGAGGCCGUCUUUGCACUAAAUUCUCCUGUCCUCCCCCUUCGAAACGCACAAAAUGAAUUUUGAACAGAUUUUGGAUGAGAGGUUUUCUUCCUUUUUUCAUCUUCUGAAACAUUUCCCCCUCAUUUCUUCUCAGAUAAAGACCCAGAAACCCGGGACAGUUACUCGGUGUACAGCUAGUCAAAUACUGAGGAAACCAGUCGAUAUUUGCCAAAGAUUGGGCAUGUUCUGGGUGGUCUCAGAUUUUGAAGAAACGACUUUUUUACUGCACAAAAUAGUUUUACAAUCAGUUCCAUCAGACAGCCCCAGGGGCUCUCCUAGGGAAAGGGGCCAAUAGGCAAGGUUGCAUGGGGAUAAGAGAGGCAAGCGGCCAGUGGAAAACGGUUUUUUGUUUUUUUUUUCCUAACAGUUGGGCAUUUCUGUAGCUCUGAAAGCAAACUUGUUUGUUUCAUUUCAACGAUAGAAAAAAAACACUCCUGUUUUGGAAAUGUAACCCAGCAUAAAAAUACAUUUGCAAUGGGGAAAAAGAAAGCAGUUUAGGGCCACCCAGAAGAAAAUAUUUUUUCCCUGAUUUUUUUUUAAUUUGGUAUUUCCCAGUGUGGGUUUGCCUCAUUUUACAAAUAGCUGCCCAUGUCAAGAUGUGGGUAUGUGAUUUAAAUAUUUUAAUUUGAAUCACAUUUUACAUAGUCUAGGAAACUGACAAAAGAAUCCUAUAGAGAAUUGUUUUAUAAAGUGAAUAACUGCUUCUCUACCUACCCGCCCCUCUCAUUCUUCUUUUCUGUGCGUGUUUUUGGGGGGCUGUUAUGGGAUAAAUCUUGUUUGGCUUAAAAAUCACUAAAACGCAGCCUUUCAAAUCCAAAACAGAGAGCUUAGGUACCCAACAUUCUAUAGAAUGUAUUAUUUCCUCAAGAGGUUGCUAGGAACAGUUAUGUAGAUCUACCAGGUGCAGGGAAGCACUCCACACCCUCACCCAGGUCCUGUAUCCCUGCAAGACUGCGUUGGAAAGACUGAAGAGGAAGCUAAAGAAUGAUGCGCUCCACCACAAUGAGGGACUAAACAACAAAAAGGAGGCAUGAGAUUCAGGAAGCAAAAAAGAGCUGACAAGCCAUAGCAGGACGGCUAUCCCCUGAGAGAUAGGAGAGGAGGAGAAACAGCCUGACAGGGGCCUGGAGCAGCUGGCUGGCGUCAGUAAUUUCCUGCAGGAGACUCUGCUGGCCGAGCACACAUCACCCUUCUGUUGCUCCUCUGUAUUCUCCCUUGUGCUACUAAAAUACGCUAAUGUAACUCCUGGGCUGUGCUAAGCUAAAUGCAGUUAUUUAACCUCAUUUCUAUGGAACCCAGGUCUAAAGCAGCAACAUCUAUUUGGAACAAGAUGGGGAGGAGCAAGAGUGAAUUCAUGCUCUUCUUCAUGGAGGUGGAUGUUUCUGGAAGGAGGUUUGUGAUGUCCUUUGCAGGGACAUGGAUGGAGUUGGAAGCCCUUAUCCUCAGCAAACUAAUGCAGGAACAGAAAACCAAACACUGCAUGUUCUUACUUAUAAGUGGGAACUGAAUGAUGAGAACACAUGGACACAUAAGGGGAAAUGACACACACUGGGGCCUGUCAGAGCUGAGGGGUUGUGGGGAGAGGGAGAGAAUCAGGAAUAAUGGCUAAUGUAUGCUGUGCUUAAUAUCUAGGUGAUGGGAUGAUCUGUGCAGCAAACCACCAUGGCACACGUUUACCUAUGUAACAAACCUGGACAUCCUGCACAUGUAUCCUGGAACUUAAAAUAAAAGUUGAAGAAAAAAAAAAAAGAAAAAGUUUUGUGAAGUCUGGAGGUGUAAUGGACAGACACAGGCUUAGGGUGAGGCAGGCCCAUGUUCAGAUCCUUGCUUCCUCACUAAGCUAGCAGGGAGACUGGCUAUAUCACCGAGCCUCAGUUUCCUCACCUGUACAUCUGCUGUAGAAGUGGCAUAUCAUAUGCUGUCCUGGCUGUGACCUUUGGUAGCUCAUCACUGCCCUUCUUACUGUUCUCAGGGUAAACCCCUUUCCAGGCAGAGUUGCCAAGACACCCAGUAAAAUUUGAAUUUCAGAUAAACACUGAAUAAUUUUUUAGUAUAAUGAUGCUCCAAAUAUUGCAUGGGAUAUACUUAACACUAAAAAAAAAAUCAUUGUUUGUCUGAAAUUCAGAUUUAACUGGGCAACCUGCAUUUUUAAAUAAACUUUUAAUUUUAGAAUCAUUUUAGAUUUACAGAAAAAAAUAUAAAGAUCGUACAGAGUUACCACACACCCUGCACCCAGUUUCCCCUAUAACUAAUAUCUUACGUCGAGCCAGUGCAGUGGCGCACAUUUGUAAUCCUAGCUGCUCAGGAGGCUGAGGUGGGAGUAUUGUUUGAGCCCAGGAGCUCGAGGCUGCAGUGAGCCAUGAUUGCACCAUUGCACUCCAGCCUGAGUGACGGAGUAAGAUGCCAUCUUUUAAAAAAAAAUCUUAUGCCAGUAUGAUACAUUUGUCACAAUUAAUGAACUAAGAUUGAUAUAUUAUCAUUAACUAAAGUCUAUACUUCAUUAGAUUUCCUUAGUUUUUCCCCAGUGUCCUUUUCUAUUCCAGGAUCCUGUCCAGGACACCAUAUCAUAUUUAGUUGUCAAGUCUUCCUAGUUCCUCUUGGCUGUGACAGUUUUUUAGACUUCCCUUGUUUUUGAUGACCUUGACCGUUUUGAGGAGCACUGGUCUGGGGUUUUGUAGAAUGCCCCUCAAUUCAGCCUGUCAGAUGUUUUUCUCAUGAUUAGGCUGGGGUAUUAUUUUUUUGGGAGGAAGACCACAGAGGUCAAGAGCCAUUCUCUUCACAUCUCGUUAAGGGUCUGUACUGUCCAUAUGACUUACCACUGUUGAUGUUGACCUUGAUCACCUGGCUAAGGUAGUGUUCAUCAGGUUUAGCAACUGUAUUUUCAUUUGCUAAAUCUGUAACUCGAUUCCAGGCCUGUCAGUCUUUCAUGACCAGACCUUUGCUUACUGCUGCUGCCAUUUUUCUGCUCCAACCAUAGUGAACUGCUAACAAUUCCUCUAAUGAACUAUUCUCUGUCUCUCUUACUGCCAGGCCUUAGGGCUUGCUCUUUCCUUUGCCUGGAAUGUUCCACUCCCCCACAGCCUCCCAUCCACACCUCCCCUUCACCCGAUUAACUUACUUUUCAGUUGGGCUUCAGUGUUCCGCUUAGGUCUCACUCCUUCCGGGAAGAUUUCUUGCACCCUCCUCUGCCAAGACCAGGUUAGGUGUUGCUUCUCUGCCCUGGUCCUACUGUGUUGUGAUAUUUACCAUCCUGUGGUUGUGAACUGUUUGCUUGUCUCCCUGACCCCAGUGCAUCCCUGACAUCUUACACAGUGCCUUGUUGCAACUCAAUAAAUAAUUGCUGAAUAAAUGAAUGGUUACACCAGGCACUUCAGGUAAAGCCUUUAACACACUACCUGCCUUGUAAACAGUAGAUGCUCAGUAAAUGCUUGUCUUUUUCAAUGUAGGAAAAAUAAUCUUCCCUAGAUCUGAGCAACUGUAAUAAGUUUGUGCUCGCCCGACACCCGCAACACAUGUCCCUACCUGGAGAAGAGAUUCUGGAACAGUGGUCUCCUAGGAUUCCCUGAGAGCCACAGUUACCUGUAUCAAAGUAUCAAGGAGGCCACUUAAUGACAGAGAUAUUAGGGUAAGUAGGCUACUUUCCGUCAGUUUGCAGAUUAAAAAGGCAUCUUUCUCCCAGUGGAGAAACUGAAUUAUGAACCCCUUCGCCCAGAUUUCCAUAGUUGGACGCGCUGACCCAUUAUUUUUAGUGAAAGGGACAAAGGGACCCACCUCCUUCUCUUUUUGCUGCCCAUGUGCCACACACAUGUAAAUGACAUGUGUACCUAUUGUUGCUUGUCCUUGAUGAUGAGUACACUUGUACAUUGAUAUAUUUAUUAGUGUUUUGCUUUUCACUAAUCCAGCAUAGUUGUGACCCCACCCCUGAGACCUAAAGGAAGGAGACACCUCAUAGGGGGUCUCAGGAAUCUCUGAUGAACCUUAGGACUAAUUAUAAUUCUUUCAUUUAUUAUAACUUCAUGCCAGGUAUUUUAUCUGCCUCACCUCUAAUCCUCUCAAUAACCUUGCAUGUUUUUAUUCAUCCCGUAUUACAAAUGAGAAAGCUAAGGUUUGGGUGCUUAAGAAAUUUUCCCCAAGUUUUUUUUGUGGUGGAGCCAGCUUGGAGCUAGGGCAAUAGACUUCAGAGUCUCAGCUCCAUCCUCUCCAUGGUUCAGAAAGUUCUCUAGUUCUGUAAGAGACAGCCAACAUCCCCCAAGGGCUUGUGCUCAUUGGAAUGGCUCUCGGGUCCACUCCUCCCUUUGUAUCCCCAGGUCACCUCACUAGAGCAGACCUCCAUCAGUCAGUGUUUACCCACCUUCCAGAGCCUCCUUCCUGGACUCUUGCCCCCGGAUUCCCCACCCAUAGCACUCUCACACUGCCAUCGCCCAACUCAGGAUCCCAAGAAUGCCCAUUUUCAGCCUUAUAAAUCCUUUGCCUUGCUUCCAAGACCCUAUGGUCUAUUUCUUUUCCAAGCCUUCUCUCCGUGCAUCAGAUUCUUCAUGAAACUUACACUGACUAGUCCCCCACCCAUCUCCCUUUCCUUGGAUCUUCAUGGCACCUAGGUAUGCAAGGCAUAAAGUAGUGUAGAAUGCCCUUCUGGCUUGUGUGGAACCACAGGGGAGUCCCCUGGGUUUCUAAUAUGGUUUUCCCAUCUGGAUUGACACCCCCGAAGGACAAAAACCUCUUGUUAAAAAAGUCAACUUUAUUGAGGUAUAACAUACAUACACCCUGUUUUAAGUGUUGAGUUUGAUAAGGUUUGACAAAUGUAUACACCCAGGUAACCACCGUCACAACCAAGAUAUAGAACAUUUCUAUCACCCCAGAAAUACCUCUGAGCCCCUUUGUAGUCAAUUCCUCCACCCCCGACCCAGGAAGCCACUUGUUGGAUUUCUAUUAAUAUAGAUUAGUUUUGCCUGCCGUUGAACUCCACAAAAAUGCAGUCACAAAGGGUGUAGUCUUUUGUGUCAGCCUAUUUUGGUUAGCACGAUAUUUUAAAGAUUCCUCCAUACUGUUUAUUACUUUCUUCUUGCUGAGUAGUAUUCUAUGGUAGAGACUAUACUACAACUUGAUUGUCCAUGUUGACUAAAUUUGAGGCUGUUUCACAUUUUUGGCUAUUGUGAAUAAAGUAGCUAUGAAUGUUUACACACAAGCCUUUUGUGAAUGUGUUUUCAUUUCUU